GAAGAUUUGGUAUAUUUGCUGGCCAGAAAGCAAGGAACUGUUCUAACAAACUUUCUGAAUCUCUGAAAAAAACUCAUGAAAAGAAGAGUGAAGGAGGCAGAGUCCCGGAUAUUCUUAGCCAGACCCUCCAUGAGCUUGGCUGCCAUCUGACACAAACAUGUCAGCGGGGACGGAAGAUGAGCACGGGCCAUCCAGGAAACAGUUGAAAAUGUGGAAUUGAAUGUCAUAAAGAAGGUCAAGAUUGAAGACAGCCAGUUUGCAAUAAAGUACUAUUAAAAUGGAAA
rnacentral:lncRNA from 1 species